AUUCAUGAUGUGGACAGGAAUUCAAAAAAUCUUUAAAUCUCUCCCAACAUUGAAGGAAGGUAUCUUCCUCUUUUUGGGAGAAGUUCAUAAUUGCCCUCCUUAGGGU